GACGAACGCUGGCGGCGUGCUUAACACAUGCAAGUCGAACGGUGAAGCGCCUUCCUUUUUGGUGGGUGUGGAUGAGUGGCGAACGGGUGAGUAACACGUGAGUAACCUGCCCCCUUCUUCUGGAUAACCGCAUGAAAGUGUGGCUAAUACGGGAUAUUCUGGGUCUGUCGCAUGAUGGGUCUGGGAAAGAUAUUGUUUCGGUGGGGGUUGUGCUCGCGGCCUAUCAGCUUGUUGGUGGGGUGAUGGCCUACCAAGGCGGUGACGGGUAGACGGCCUGAGAGGGUGGACGGUCACACUGGGACUGAGACACGGGCCAGACUACUACGGGAGGCAACAGUGGCGAAUAUUGCACGAUGGGCGCAAGCCUGAUGCAGCGACGCCGCGUGAGGGAUGGAGGCCUUCGGGUUGUGAACCUCUUUCGCCAGUGAAGCAUGCCUGCCUCGUUUGUGUGUGGGUUGACGGUAGCUGGAUAAGAAGCGCCGGCUAACUACGUG
rnacentral:rRNA from 1 species